CCGACGGCCUUCCUAGGUCUUUCUGCUGUUGGUGCCACCGCCAUUUUCUGCGAGAACUGGCUUGUAGUGGCACGGUAUUGUCUAUCCGUCGCCAUCCACUACAGCUUUGCUGUCUGUUCUCAGGGAGUGAGCCCGGGGGACCCACCCCGACAUGAGAGCUAAGUGGAGAAAGAAGCGAAUGCGCAGGCUGAAGCGCAAAAGGAGAAAGAUGAGACAGAGGUCCAAGUAGAUGUCUCACAGAGCUACUGAAGCUGCAGAACAGAGCAUGGAAGGGUGGAGCUUGGGAAGCUGAUUUCCAGAUAAUGCCUUCUGUUUGCUACUGCUAGAAGACUCCCUGCUUAUCUUCAGGAGAUUCCAUCUUAAAAGCUUAGGAGCUGUAAUCCUUCAAAGGGGGAUGCCCCUGAGCUUUACUAUUCUGGACUGGUCCUGUUCUUUGUGGCUUGAUGUAGUGACUGUAACCAAUAAAACCCUUUUGGGGGGAAUUUGGCACAUUUUUUCUUACCAAAAGUUGACAUCUUCAGUAAAAAGUUUUGAAAUAGUUA